GGUGGUCUUGGAUGCAAAGACUUGGCCGAAGGGAUUGUAGGCCCAAUCCCGUUUUCAAUGGAAACAUAUCAUAUGGAAAAAACGUGUAUCAUGUGAAUCAUGUUUGGACACGCUCUGAAACUCAAAAGCUCCAUCUUCGUCUUUUCCCUCCACCAAUCCAGAGUUUAUCACAGGCGGCGGUGGAGUAGCCAUACCCAAAAUCAAAUACACCAAAAUACUCCCAAUCCCAUGCUCAUCUCAAAUCCAUAAACAAAAUCGCAUGAACCUUCAUAUAAUUCCCAAAUCAAAAUGAAACGUUCAAGAACCCUAAAGCUAUGAACCGAAAUUAAAUUAUGGACGUGUGGAAUCAGAGCCCUGGAUGUUAGGACUUUGGUCCACCUCACAAAGCUCUACAUCAUGGUAAUUCAAAUGAAGCAAAAUGAUGAAUAUUGUUCAAAAACCCACCGGAACACCGUGUCGGAACUUCAGGGCUUGUGAAUGAUGCUUUGACAUGUUGAGUUUUGUGAAUCGUGAGUUGCUAUGGAUUCCGGUAGAAGUAGGUUCUGACUGAUGCAGCAGAGCAUUCAGUUCAUGUGUUAGGUUUGCAUUGCAUCUUGGUUUCAAUUGGUUUCUUAGUUCUGCUAUUCUGACUUGCUCCAUGUCUUGCAAAACAUCUUGCAUUGGCUGCUGAUUGAUUGCAUGUUGUGCAUUGAUGUCUGUUUGUUUCUAUGUCAAAUGCUAUGAAUGAUUUGAUGCAUGCUUGUAGUUAUACCUAAUAGUCUUACAUGUUUAGUGUAUUCUUGGUCUGCUAAGUGGGUACAAUGUUAUAUGAUGGAUAUUGGUUGAUUAGCUUGCCACGUGUGUAUGGAAAUAAAGGCUGCAAUGAAUGUUUGGUGAAUUGAAUUCGGUAUGCAGUUCUGAAUUUGUUGAAUAAAUGCGUUGUUUCUAGGUAAUGAAUAUCAUGGUGAGCUUUGCAAGUUGCGUAGUUACUAUGUUUGUCAUGAAUGUAAGGUGUAUGCUAUGACUUGAUAUGUCUUGCUUAUGUUGGAUUGAAUGUGUAUUCUAAUCUUGGUCAUUAUGGUGAAUGCAAAAUUUGGUUUGUGCCAAGAUAAAACCUUGGUUUGGUAAGGCAAUAUGCUUGAACAAGGCAUGGCAAAGUGAAGUGCAAAAGAUAGACUUUCUUGCUUAAGAAGCCAAUGUGAUUAGGGAAGCUUAUGAAAUCAUGUAAAAAUGAGGAGGUGAUAUAAUUAGUAUUAGAUUUAGGAAAAGAAAUGAUGGUUGACUUUGGUCAACUGGUUGACCAAAAAUUCAACAUUUGUAAAAAACUGUAAAUUUCUUUAUUUUUAUUUUGUAAUCACAUAUUUAUGCUAUUUUAAGAAUGGAUGACCAAUAUUAGGAUGAAAUGCUCCAUGAUUGUAUGUAAAUAAUUUUAUUUUUUUGAAUGAAUUUCACCUAAAAACCCAGUUUGA